ACGUACAAGCAGUGGGAGCACAGAGCAAUCUGUGUGACUGCGUACCUUUUGUAUAAUGGGUCAGCGACUUAUAUUCUGUAGCAAGGUUAACCGAAUAGGGGAGCCGAAGGGAAACCGAGUCUUAACUGGGCGUUAAGUUGCAGGGUAUAGACCCGAAACCCGGUGAUCUAGCCAUGGGCAGGUUGAAGGUUGGGUAACACUAACUGGAGGACCGAACCGACUAAUGUUGAAAAAUUAGCGGAUGACUUGUGGCUGGGGGUGAAAGGCCAAUCAAACCGGGAGAUAGCUGGUUCUCCCCGAAAGCUAUUUAGGUAGCGCCUCGUGAAUUCAUCUCCGGGGGUAGAGCACUGUUUCGGCAAGGGGGUCAUCCCGACUUACCAACCCGAUGCAAACUGCGAAUACCGGAGAAUGUUAUCACGGGAGACACACGGCGGGUGCUAACGUCCGUCGUGAAGAGGGAAACAACCCAGACCGCCAGCUAAGGUCCCAAAGUCAUGGUUAAGUGGGAAACGAUGUGGGAAGGCCCAGACAGCCAGGAUGUUGGCUUAGAAGCAGCCAUCAUUUAAAGAAAGCGUAAUAGCUCACUGGUCGAGUCGGCCUGCGCGGAAGAUGUAACGGGGCUAAACCAUGCACCGAAGCUGCGGCAGCGACGCUGAUGCGUUGUUGGGUAGGGGAGCGUUCUGUAAGCCUGUGAAGGUGUACUGUGAGGUAUGCUGGAGGUAUCAGAAGUGCGAAUGCUGACAUAAGUAACGAUAAAGCGGGUGAAAAGCCCGCUCGCCGGAAGACCAAGGGUUCCUGUCCAACGUUAAUCGGGGCAGGGUGAGUCGACCCCUAAGGCGAGGCCGAAAGGCGUAGUCGAUGGGAAACAGGUUAAUAUUCCUGUACUUGGUGUUACUGCGAAGGG
rnacentral:rRNA from 1 species